UGCCGCGCGUUGAUAUGCCGAUGGUGCUGAUCUGUUGCCUCGUCAAAAACCUACGUCAAGUACACAAAAAACCCUGUGGGAGAAAAACUGAACCUUGAUCGUAGGAGAAAAAGAGUACAACGCACCCUUCACAUUUGAUAGUGACAUGUAUGUAUGUGCUAGACUCCCCCUGAAGUUCGCACCUCCCCCUGAUCUUUACAUCAAUUAUAGGGCUCUUCCUGAUUCUUACUAAUCAUGGAAGUUUCAACAACUUAGCAUGUCAAUGUUUUUUAACAAGUCUUCAAAUGUGGUAUUGGGCAAUGAUUAACUAAAUCAUGCCGUAUUGUCCUCAAAUGAUCUUUUACACUUAGAUCUUGAGGAGAAGGUUGCUUGUGAACUCAAAACAUAAAUUCGUGCAGGAAAUCAGAUUUCCGCGCAGCAUGACCUUCAAUUACUAGAACAGUCGUAACUUUCUCUAGGAAAUACAUAUGAACGAACCGUAAACGGUUUUGGAAACUAGACUCAUUUAGCUUUCCAACCGUAUAUUACACACGUUCUUGUUCCUCAGGAGCUAUUCACAACAUUCCGUCGAAGUUGACUGUUUUGCUAAAAUCAGAUUCUCGGACAGAUUCGUCCUACUUUACGAAAACGGCUAUAACUCACUCAAUAUGAUAGGUAUGAUCAAAUGGUUGGUGUCUCUGGAAAGUAGACACAUAGACCUUUCCAAUGGUACUAAUUUUACCAUAUUCCAGUGAGUGAGGUUUCCUGUAAGUCCCGUGGCUUGACCUACGAAACUUGGCAGAUUCUGAUUUCGCUAUUGAUGUGUCUUUCUUAUGUAGGGAUAGAAUAAGCCUAAACCUUUCAUACCAUUAAGUAUUGAAAAAGGAGGUACUGCCAUUACAUUGGCGUUGCGUGGGCGCAUAGCUACACUUAGCUUUACAACUUUUCAUAGCGAAUGAGAUGUCAAGUCUUUCGUAUUGUGUUGAGUACAUUGAUGCGUCUAAUUGUACUUAGAUGGGAACUCCAUCUCUUAACACAUAUUUGUCAUCUUGCUUUAGACAAAACAACGGAUCUCUCUUUAGAGCAAAGACCUUGACUAAUCAUGGGAGUAUAUGUAGGCCUCACUAGUUAUAGAGCGUCUAAGCCGAUUGAUGGAAAAUCAUCAUCAAUACAGUCAUCGAGUGCCUUAUCGAGACCAUGUCUUCCCAAGAUCUUUUUCUUCGGAUGUUGAUACAUAUUGACAUCUCUUGAUCCAUCAAGAGUCCAUGUAAAUCCGGAAUGAACACGCAAAGGCAUAAUUCACCAUAGCCCUUCCAAAUCAAGUAGAGUCCAUGUGCGUUUCAAUACAUUUAGCAAACGCAUGCUCCUGUGGUUUGGAGCCACUUGAUUCGGAUGAAUGAAGUCCGUUUAAGAUCUUCAUGCAUAUCUCUGAUCCCGUAGAGAUGUUAUUAUGACCACAUUCAUAGGCUGCUUGUUCAGUUAUUCGGAAACUACCAAACUGACAAAGUAGCGGAGUUCAAUGACAUCCAUUACGAGAGCAUAUCUCAUCGUAGUCGAUCCCAGUACGUGUUAGUGAAAGACCUUGCGCCAUAAGGUGAGUCUAAGCUCUUACUCUCACUACCCUAUCUAACAAAGACACAGUUGAUAGGGUUUAGCUUGCGGUGUCGGCAUCACCUGCCCAAGGACCUAUCUCUUUGUUAAUGCUGGAUCGCAUCUUUCCAUUAGGCCAAUCAACUAAGUUGAUAUCCAUCAACGAAUGGUGGUUCGAUAGUAGACUCAUUAUCUCACGUCCUCAUGUACACUAGUGUAAUACUUGUAGAGAUCUCUAUAUGGAUUGGAUUUGACAUUGAGGCGUCCCCCAACGAUAAUCACAAUUCAGACUUCAUGAGACGGAUUUGAGUAUCACUGAUCAAUGGAUCAGGUUGUGCCAAUCUCGCUUUCUUCCUAGUGCGAGAAUAUAUCGAACCUAAGGGCCUCCCUCCUUUUAGGGAGCCACACGGCCUUGUGACACCAAUUUUGCCACUAUAUGGCGUCACCAUAUCACCAUCCAUGGUGAUGGCGUCAAGACCAACACUUUUUGGUCGUGCCAUGUCCUUUUGUAGGACAUCAAUCCUUGCAGACAUAUUUGCAGCAUGUGAUCUCGUCACUUUAACACUAUAAGCAUUUGGAAUCAAGAUGAGACUUAGUGGGGACAAACCACGAUAAUUCACGUCGUUCCACUUGUAACACUUGUGUUCUUAUCUCCCCCUAACGGCGGGAAUAUUGUCUCAUCAAAGUNNN
rnacentral:lncRNA from 1 species